AGGAGUGUAGCUCAGUUGGUUAGAGCAUCGGUCUCCAAAACCGAGGGUCGGGGGUUCGAGUCCCUCCACUCCUG
rnacentral:tRNA from 1 species